UACGUAGAAGACUAGUGUUAUUCAUCUUUAAUAGGUUUAAAAGGGUACCUAGACGGUAUAAUUAGUCUUAAACAGGAUACGAUUAUACUAGAGUUAUAUAUGAGGAGGUGAGUAUUUAUGCAGUAGAGUUGAAAUUCGUUGAUAGCAUAACGACUGGUAACGGCGAAAAGCAACCUUUUAUCUAAUAACUGACGUUGAGGGACGAAAGGCUCGG
rnacentral:rRNA from 1 species